rnacentral:lncRNA from 1 species
GCAACCUAGAGGGCGGUCGAUAUGGCUCUCUCGGAAGUGCUUGUAUGACUUUAGGGGGAAAAGAGGCCUCACUGGAAAAGCAACAGGGAGGAAAGACCCUAGCCAUGUUCGUGAUGGUGGACAUUCUGGAAGGGAGCCUUGGCAGCUGUGACUGGAGCUCUGCCUGCCCCUCUGCUACCGACCUCCUUGGGUGUGUGUGACCACCGUGGCAAGUUGCAACAGUUUCUUCAGUCAACCCCCCCCCCCCCACACACACACACACUUGCAGUGUGAGUCACCUUCAAUUUCCUGCCUGCCUGCCUCUUCCCUGAUGGACCUGAUAAAUCCAGGACAGCUUUUAUUGCUUUUGGCAAAACAGUGCCAUUAAGAUUUACGGAGCCAAAAGCUGGUACAAUGUAAUCUUCAAAGUAAUUUACACAGCGAGUUUCAGAAGAUGAAAAGUUAGCGUUUCCGAGGUAAUUUCAUAAAAAGGAUUAUCAGAUUAAUCACUGUGUCGAUUUAAUCGUGG